GAGGAGUGCACGAUGACGAGGGGAAAGCAGAAGAUCGAAUCGCAGAGGAAGAACGCGGAGAGGAACCAGAAACCGAAAGGUUCCCAGCUCGAGGCGAGAGCGGUCGGUCUCAAGGUCGUCUGCCCCAUCUGCAAGUUACUGCACCUACAAGGAUAACCAGUUAUGAUGAUAAUGAAACAUCAUCGAUGGAGAUAAUCAAACUAGAACAAUGACUUCUCUCCUAUAUAAGUUUGUUUUCUUUAUGUUAUCUUCAAACUUAUCUCACUGUAGCAUAAAACUUGCUAUUUAACUGUAUCAAUCCACAGUUGAAAAUCCUUUCAAUGUCAGACUUCCGAGGUUUUAGCGUACCUGGCUGCGUGUGAUGAUACAAUUCUCCUAGCAGGUGUUAUUGUUAUUCAUUUGAUACAAUUCUCUUAGCAGGAGUUAGUGAAUUCACACACACAUUUAGAGAGAGA